rnacentral:rRNA from 1 species
GAUGAACGCUGGCGGCGUGCCUAAUACAUGCAAGUCGAGCGAACGGACGAGAAGCUUGCUUCUCUGAUGUUAGCGGCGGACGGGUGAGUAACACGUGGAUAACCUACCUAUAAGACUGGGAUAACUUCGGGAAACCGGAGCUAAUACCGGAUAAUAUUUUGAACCGCAUGGUUCAAAAGUGAAAGACGGUCUUGCUGUCACUUAUAGAUGGAUCCGCGCUGCAUUAGCUAGUUGGUGAGGUAACGGCUUACCAAGGCAACGAUGCAUAGCCGACCUGAGAGGGUGAUCGGCCACACUGGAACUGAGACACGGUCCAGACUCCUACGGGAGGCAGCAGUAGGGAAUCUUCCGCAAUGGGCGAAAGCCUGACGGAGCAACGCCGCGUGAGUGAUGAAGGUCUUCGGAUCGUAAAACUCUGUUAUUAGGGAGGAACAUAUGUGUAAGUAACUGUGCACAUCUUGACGGUACCUAAUCAGAAAGCCACGGCUAACUACGUG